UACGGAGGGUGCAAGCGUUAUCCGGAUUUACUGGGUUUAAAGGGUGUGUAGGCGGGCUUUUAAGUCAGUGGUGAAAUCUCCGGGCUCAACCCGGAAACUGCCAUUGAUACUAUUAGUCUUGAAUUUUUGUUGAGGUAGGCGGAAUAAGUCAUGUAGCGGUGAAAUGCAUAGAUAUGACUUAGAACACCAAUUGCGAAGGCAGCUUGCUAAACAAAUAUUGACGCUGAGGCACGAAAGCGUGGGGAUCAAACAGG
rnacentral:rRNA from 1 species